GUGCUUUCUUUGCUGUUGGCUUGGUGUGUUGUUUGAAUCAUGUCAGUAGGGGGCACUAGUCCUGAAUGUUCUUUUCCCCAACAAACGUUGCCAUCAGAUGGAUUCCAGGUGACUUAUACAUAAAGCAGGAGAGGGGUGGGUGCUAACUUCCUACACACUGAAGAGGACAAAAAAAUGACUUCAGUCAGGACAGCUUCAGGGUUGACAUGGGGAUGCUGCAACUAAGAUCAAGUACCAGUUCAGACCAAGCAGCUAACAACUGUGAGCAUUUAAAAGCAACAGAAUUGAAAACAACAACCCCAAGGGACACGAUUGGACAAUUAAACUACUUUCCAACUAUUUUUAAAUGUUUAAUCAAAAGCCUCUUAAAAGAGAAAGCGUGUGAUUCUCUUGGGAAGGACUUUUAGAUCCUGGGUUGCGUUGGGUGACUCAGUAUAAACAUCACACAUAAAUAAAUGAAAAGCAACGAAAGCUUUGCCCCUUUUUCUAUGUGUUGUCACACAUUAA